GCUGCAUAGUAUUCCAUGUGUGCCCCAUUUUUUUAUCCAGUCUAUCAUUGUUGAGCAUUUGGGUUGGUUCCAAGUCUUUGCUAUUGUAAGUAGGACAGCAUGCUAGCAUUCCACUAGAUAUAUUACCAAUAUUAAAAUGUAAAAUGAUUGGUUUUCCAAAAACUGCAUGACAUCACUUAUAACUGGGAAUUAAACACUGGGUACACAUGGACAUAAAGAAAUAUGGGGAAAAAGAUACUCUGGAUCACUAGAGAGGGAAGAGAGGGAUGGAGGCAAGGUCUGAAAAACUACCUAUUGGGUACUAUGCUCAAUAACACGGUGAUGGGUUUAUUUAUACAUCAAAUCUCAGCUUCACACAAUUUACCUCUGUAGCAAUCCUGCACAUGUACCCAAUUCUAAAAUAAAUUUGAAAAAGAAAAAAAAUAUAUUGGUUUUCACACCAAGGAGCCGAUAGUCCCGGGGUGAGAGGUUUAUGCAUGUACUGCUUUAGAAGAUAGCAACAGCAGGUAAACGAUGGUACGUGAUGUAAACAUAUGCCUGCUCUCAAGAUGUAAAUGAUUAAUAUCCUAACUCAGUGACACAGGUGGUUAAUAUUAAUUCAGAAAAGAAAAAGAUAAGUCUGGAUCGAAAAUUUUAAAGACAACUUCUUUGUAGAAGUUAUAAUCCUGCUGGACACUAGGAAUUGCCUACAUAGAAAACAGAAGGGAGAGGGAAAAAUAAACAGAGGGAACUCGUCCUUCUUGGAGUUUGUACGUAGUUAAAACAGAAUCUUUAUUUUUUCAUUUUCUGCAUACACAUACUUGCCCACUUGUGUAUGAAUAUGGGGUGCGUGUGAGUUUUGUCAGGCCUCUGAGCCAGAGCUCAUCCAUUAUAACCCCUGUGACCUGCACAUAUGCGUCCAGAUGGCCUGCAGGAGCCAAGAAAUCUGGAGCAGCCAAAAAAAAAAAAAAAAAAAAAAAAAACCAACAACAAAAGAAGUGAAACCCCAGUUCCUGCCUUAACUGAUGAACCCAAACUUGUCCAAAACUUUUAGGUGAUGACUUAACUGACAAAAGAGGACACAGUAUGGGUUCAUGUACCUUUGUCUCUACCAGACCUUUCCCAAAUCAGUCAGCGUCUGAAGAAAACGUUCUUUCCCAUCAGACCCCACUCAAUGUCCACCUUAUGACGCUCCACCACGAGGACUUGUUCCCGCCCUGUCCUAACUGAUCAGUGGACCCUGUGACAUCCUUCUCCAGGAUGAUGAGUCUCAUGAUCUCUCCACCAUGUGACCCCCACCUGCUGACAACAGAUAACCACCUUUACCUGUAACUUUCCACGGCCCACCCACCUCUCUACAGCUGCCCCUUUCCUGUCUCCCUUUGCUGACGCUCUGUUCGGACUUGCACCCAAGUGAACAAACAGCCUUGUCGCUCACACAAAGCCUGUUUAGGUGGUCUUCUCUACGGACUCAUGUGACAAGCUUGACUUUCCCUUUUCCAUGCUUUGUUUCCAUUAUGCUUAUGUCUGGAGGAUAUAUUCUAUUUUUAUAAUCUUUCAGGUUUAAAACAAAACACUCAUAAGAUGUGUGCUUUCACAUGAGCACGUUUUCCUCCCGGGUUUAAAUAACUGUGCAGUUCCCCAGAAGAAAAGUACUUUUUAAGAAAAACAAAUAAUUAAUUUGAGGCCUAUUUUAAAACACUCCUAUUAUUCCAAAUGGCGCAGAUAUGCUGAGCGGGGAAGUUGUCCUCACAGAAAUAAAAAAGAAGAAAAACAAAACACCCUUUUGAGCUCACAGUGUCUGACAGGCAUUGUGUUUAAUCCUCACAUCCCAACACGCUGGCAUUUCUCUAGACCCGUGCCUAAAUUCUGUGGCAUACACAUGGGCUAAAGAGAUUUAUGACUCAAAAAAGUUGUUUUAUUUAAUGGCAUGCAUAAAUUCUAAAAGCCUGGAAAUUCAUUAUUUAAUAGCCUCCCCUCUGAUGAAACCCUCUUUUAGGAGAUAUUGAAUAUUUCUUCAAAACAUUAGUUAAUAUAAAACAAGAUGAAAGUAACUAGAUAUCAUCCAGAUAAAUAGGAUGGAUUAUUUUCUUUCUUUCUUUCUAGUAUCAAAAGUUUCAAUAGCUUCUUAGUUUAUCAAAUAUAUGUUGUAUUUUAAAAAGUGCUUCAACUUAAUCAUUAUUUUGAGGAACUGACAUAAGACACGACUCUACUCUUCUCAAAGUUUAUGAUGAUGUUUAUGGGGAUAGCGUGAGAAUGGGCUUUCUAGGCUUUCUUUCUCAGAAUAUCAAUGUAGAAGUGUUUUCCUUUUUGCUAUGGUUUUAUGGGAGCACAGAGGCUUCCUUGCUUAGAACAUACAUCUUUUAAUGAAAGGGAUAUAUCACUUUUCACAUGUCAGUCAUGUCACAAAAAUUACUGCGAGUUGCUAGAACAGUUGCCUAAUUUGAGGUGAGGAAAAUCACCUGUCACCACUGACAGAGAAUAUAAAGUGGCAAGGUCAAAAUUGUACAUUAUACUUAUAAGGCAAACUGCCUAUAUCAUUCUCGAAAAGUUAACAUAUUACUGAAAAUUUAGUGACGAAUUCUUAUUAUUUUGGUCAUAUGAAAGGACAGUUUAAAACGUGUACAAUCAUAACAUUUGAAAGAAAGGACUUGUUUCCCACUCUGAUGACAACGGUCAGAUGACUACGGCAACCUCCAAAGGCAUGUGAAGUAAGAGACUGGAUGUUUCUCAGGCUGCCAGGGAAAUCAGUCAUAACUACACUGGGAAGGUCAGAGUUUUAUGCUUUGAGUUUUUCACUAAUUCAGAAAUCAAAUUGUCACUCUUUUCACCAGAAGUGGAGAUUAUGAAUUCAGCUUUCAGCUAGCACAUGGAGAAGCUUACUGCAGAGAAGAAAAGGAGAACAGAAUGAAAGGUCUAGUUGGGAGGAGGAAGGUUGUGGAAUACGACACUCUUGUAGACAAAGUCACGUCCUGAUUAAGUGAGGCCAGGAGAGGCAGGGCGUAAGAGGAAACGGUGUACCUUCUAUUUACUAAGAGCUCAGGUUCUAAUGUUGAAAAGAAACGGGUUUAACUUCUGCCCAAACUCUUAUCAGACAUGUCACUUUGGGCAGAGUACUUAUUUGAUCUUCAUUUUCUCAUCUACAAAAUGGGUAUUAUGACAAACCUGUUUUGGGAGUUGGGGAAGAAUUAAAUAUGAGGGUAAAACGUUCUGCAUAGUCCUGGUGCGUAAAAUACAUUCAGUAAAUGGUAGGUUUAAUGUUUAUUCUUAAAACUAAACUUAAGGCAUAUUCAAAAAUUAACAAAAUAGUGUUGCUUUUUCAACAAAUAGCACCAGAAGCCUUGAUAUAGUAUACAACAACUUCACUGGAUUACUGUUGAAUCACCAAGAGGAAAUUUGCUUAGGGAACCAAAACAAGGAAACUGUACAAAUAAAACAAAAAUCAAAAGAGAGGGAGAAGAUCAGAAAGGCUAUAGGGCAGUUGUUUUACCUUUUCCAUGAUGUAAGUUUUAUGUCAUAUUUAAAAAUAAAAUCAUAUUAUAAGUUAGUCAAUUAAAAAUAUAUUGGAGAAGACAUAAUAAUUUAAAUAUUUAUAUCCUCUGAAGAAUCUGGCUUUGAAUGAGAUUAGAAGGCAGGGGAUAUCAAAAGAUAUCAUUGAACCUAGAAGAAGAGAAGUUCAAACCAGAGUAAAGGCUCAUCACCAGCUUCUUAGUUAAAGAAAGUGAAGUGUGCUGUUAUUAGAAGCUCAUGCUAAAAUAUCUGUACCAUGUGUAUAUGCAUUUGGUUCAAUGAAUUAAUGGUAAAAAUAAUAGUUUUCAUUAAAAUGAACUUUAAUUCAUUCACAGUAGAUUCUUUCAUUACUUUUAUAAUGUCUCAACUUAGGAAGUUCUUGAUAUAUACCUUCAUUCUUUUUCUCUGAGGUCGGACAAAAAAAAAUAUAUAUGUCCCACUUUAUUUUCAGUAGAAUUUUUAUGACGUUGUUUCAAAAACCUCAAAAUCUAUUGAGAGGCCAAACGUUAUGCAUCAGUAAUUUUUAUAUCUUAGCAUAACUGAAGUUAUGAGCUUCUGCAAUGAAGGAGUAGAGCAUAUAUGUGGGGGACACAAGUGUGGGAAGUAGAGACUUUUCUGACAGAGGAGGCUGGCAGCACUCACAAAGGGAAAUGAAGGCAAAGAGGGAAGGUGAGGGUAUUUUACAAUAACACCAGAAACCAGUCUUGUUACUGUCUUUACUGAUGUUGCAGGAUAAUCUUUUUUGAAAUAGUAUCUGCUGUGUAUUUUAUUCCCCCAAGUUAUAAUUUUCCCAAACUCUCAACCUUCUAAAGUUUGUGCAUACAUUUCAUUGGCGGCAGGAUGGAAGGAGCAUAGAAGAAAAGAAGUCAAAGUGAGCUUAAUUGAUUAAAAUAAGGCUUUGCAUGUUUCCAAUCUGAGGAUCACUUUCACUUGCAAGACGUACUGAGACAAGAGGGGGUUCUGGAUAUUCAGUCUCUACGGAGGUCAACCAAAUAAUAAAUUAUGAUAGAGAACUAGGAAAGAAGGAGCUAAAUUACUGAGAUGAGAGGGGGUUCUGGACGUUCAAUCUCUACAGAGGUCAACCAAAGAAUAAAUUAUGACAGAGAACUAGGGAAGAAGGAGCUAAGUUACUGAGACGAAAGGGGGUUUUCGGAUGUUCCGUCUGUAUGGAGGUCAACCAAAGAGUAAAUUAUGAUAGAGAACUAGGGAAGAAGGUAUGGCAUGAUGUAGGAUGUUGUCAUCACACAAGAGAGAGAAAAUAGUUUUCUACUCUGAGCUGGAGAUGCAGGAGCAAUUCAGAGGAACACUGCUGGGAUUGGGCUGCUGCCUGUCUGCCUGGUAAUAGAGUCAGUGUCUUCCAAUUCCAAGGCCUACAUCAAGGCAGGCAAGUCUGAGUGAGAACUUAAAAUGAGACAAAUCAGGAGAAUCCAAAAUCAUGUGUAGCUUCUGUUCUUUUUUCCAGCUGGGAGUCCAGGGGAAAAUUACUUUGUAAGAAACCCUACAUCUUUACAGAAUUGCCAUCGGCACUGGCACGUAGCCCUGUGUGCGCUCUGGAUAAGCGGUAGUCAUGAUGACCAAAGUAAGGUGGAUGUACAGGUGCAGGCCUCUUGAGGCAUAAAGAGGGCCCUGGAAUGGUGUUUCCAGUUUAUCUGUGGCCAGAAGGUGGCAUGUGGGAAACCUAGAUGAUAGAGUGUCUGCCAAAGUGCUAAAAGGACACAGAACAGAAGGUCCUCGGACCAGGAGAGGAGAGAGGAAGUGAGCAGAUCUGACACAGAAAGACAAAAGCAGGGAUCAUGCACCUGUUACACCAAUAGUGGAUACUAGCAAUAAUCUGAAAACUAUGGAAAUAAGCCACCUCCACAUAUCUUAGCACCAUGGUAUUAAGUAAGUCUUCCCUGUGUUAAGAUGCUGCAGGGGAAAAUAGAAGAGGGAGAAGGGGAAUAAGAUUUGAACUGAUGGAUUUAACUGAAAGACAGACAACAUGCUUUACUCUAGAAACCCAUUGAUAUCUUAAAUUAUCAAGAUCAAGCUUUUUCUUUCCAUUAGUAGUAUGAAUGGGAAGUUGACUAAUUGUAUAGAAAAGAAAAUAAUUUUAAUUAUAAAUAAGAAUAACAAACAUCAUCUCAUUGAAUACACAUUUCCACAAUAAUUCACACAUUUUAGAAACAAAAGGCAUCUCAUUUUUAUUUCAUUAUAUGUCACAGUGCAGACCUUUCUCAGUGGAGUUUAGAUCUGUGUACAUUAUUAUUAUUAUUGACAUCAUUAUUAUUGUUACCUUUUUUUUAGAAAGAGAAGUUGAGAAGAGGAAUACCGUCAUUGCCUCUCACUUAACCACAGCAGCAGGCAGGGGACCCAAAUACUCCAAUCCUACCUGGAAUACAUUCAGGGCAAUGACAUGCUUUCUUUCAAAAGAGCUGUCAACAAUUUUACCUUUCUCAUUCUCUCUUGAACCCAUUUCAGACAGGGUUUUUCCCACCACCACACUACAGAAACUGUUCUUAUCAAGGUCACCAAUGACCUUCAUGCUGUAAAUUCACUGUUAAUUCUCCCACCUCUUCCUACUUGGCCUAUUGGGAAUAAGAGGUGGACCUUUCCUUGAAAUACUUUUUCCAUUUAGCUUUCAGGAUGCUGCACUUUUUGUUGUGCCUCUGCCUCUAACUGCUGCAUCUCAGUAUCUCCAGUUGUUUCUUCUCAUUUCCAUAAUCUGUACAAGUAGAAGUACCCUAGGCUUCAGUCCUAGGAACUCUUAUGUUUUCUCUCCUCCUUCCCUUGGUGAUCACAUCUGGUCUCAUAGAUUUAAAUACCAUCUAUAUGCUAAUCAGAAAUCUACAUAUGCAGCCUAAUCUCUCUCUUGAACUCCAGAAUUUAUAAGUCCAACUAUCUGCUUGAUUUUUCCAGCUGGAUGUCCAAUAGGUGUCUUACAUGUAACAAGUCCAGUUCUGAACUCUCUAUCUUUCCUAUCUAAUCUCUUCCUGCAGCUUGUUCAACUCAGUUGUCAACUAAUUCCUCCCAGUUGUUCAGGCAAAACACUUGGAGACAUCCUUGAUCCCUGUUUCUCUCCGACACCACAUUUAAUCAUCAGGAGAGUCUAUUAUAUAUAUUCAAAAUAUUCAUUAUCUAACCGCUUCCUACUACCUUCAGUUCUACCCACCUUGUCCAAGCCACUGUCAUCUUUCCUGGGUUAUUGUAAUUGUUCGUAAAUGUGGCCUCCACCAGCUCUUGCCUCUCUAUACAUCUCAUGCUGAACCUUAGGCACAGGGCCCCCACUAAAGGUAGGAAUGUUACGUCACUCCUCUGCUCAAAACUUUCUCUUUAAUUUUGCAGUAAAAAUGAGGGCUUGAGUUUGCUAACCUAUUUCCAAUGAUUUGAACAAUCAGGGCCUGCACUCAGUAGACAGUCACUAAAUAUGUGUUGUAUGAGUUAAGAAUGAAGAAAUAAAAUUUCAUAUUAUUAUUCAAAGUAAGAGCUAAGGUCCUUAUGAUGAGCUAUGAGGCUUUCACAUUCCGCACCCUACACCCCCAUUUCACCUCUACCCUCUUUCCUGCUUCUUCCUUAUGGCUAGACAGGGUACUCCCCAAAUCUAACAGGCACACUCUGGCCUUAGCACUAGAAGACUUGCCAUUCCUUUCGUCUGACAUGAUUCUUCACAAGAUAGCUCUAUGACUCUUGUGCUGUCUGUCUUUGGUAAAAGUUUUUAUGAAUCCUUUCCUGACCAUCUUAUCUAAAACUAAUACUCACCUGGUAUUCUCUUUUCUGCUUUAUUUUCUACAUAACAUAACAUUUAUCAUUAUGUAAUGUGCUAUAUGUUUUCCUUAUUUUUAAAUAAAAUCUCCCCAAAUUCUUCAAUAUAAAUGUUGGUGCGUAUUUUUUUUUUUAAUCUCGUUUAUUUAUUUUCUCUUAAUGCCUAGAAAGGUAGUAUCUGGCAUAUAGUAGGCAUUCACAAACUUGUGUUGAUUUAAUGAGUUAAGCCAAAUAAUGUGAAGAAGGCCUGGUUUCGGUCACUGGGGAGCAGCAUAUGGAAAAGAAUAAAUUAGAAAGUUUGCAAUAUGAAAUGGAAUUAAAUAUGCUCAAAUACUACUCCUGACAUUGCCACUAAUGGACUGUAUCAUCUUAAAGUAUUUCUUGUACUUGAAAAAUUUCAAUGGCCUCAUCUUCAGAUAAAAAUUAAGAUAAUCCAUAAGAUCCCUUGCAUGUCUGAUUUUUAAAAAAUAUUAAUGAUAGAUUUUAUAGUCUAUUCUUUGGUCCCAUUUAAGAAAACAGACAUUUGUAUAAUUAUUUAACUCUUAUGUAUUUUUAUCAGUCUGGCUUUUGUGAGGAUUACAUGCAUUAUACCAUUUUUUCAAGCCUUUUUUUCUCCAAAAUGUAAACAAUAACAAAAUAGAAAGUUUAUAAAUUUUGCUGUUAAACUUUCCAAAGUAAUGAUGACAUGAAAUAGAAAAAUAAAAUUCCACCCACACACACAGAGCUGAAAUUUAUCAGAAAAAAAUAUAUAAAGCAAUUUCCUUUUCCAGGCAUUUUUCUCCCAGCUGGUCUAACAACAUACAUCAUUGUGGCUUCUAAAUUUUAAUUUACAAGGAACAAAUAUGGUAGUUUUAUAGGCUUCUGGCCAUUGGAAAAUCACUGAUUGCAAGGCCUGUCUCCUCAGAAACAAAUCAAAAGGUGACAUAUUCUGUUAACUUGCCAUUAUACAUUCAUAACAUCAUCUUUCAAUUCGGUGUCAUAAAGAAUUUAUGUAGGACAUUAAUCAUGCAAGACCACUAAAUUGUUCUCAUUUCAGUGAUAAUUGUUUACUCUUAUAAAUGGUUUGUGUUGAGUUGCAACAAUUCAGCUGAAUAAAAUAUAUCUUUACCAGCCUGCAUUGGGAAACAAAAUUAACGUAUAGAUAGUGGAACCAAACUGAUUAUAUAAUACGAUUAUUAGAAAAAACUAAAAUUGUAUAGAGCUCUUCUCUUUUCAAUGACAAGAGCCAAUGACAUUAGGAUAAUUCUGUCACCUUCAAUAAAAUGAAUCUUGAAAAACAAAAUGAAACAAAACAACAACAUCAUGUAGAAUCAACAAACAUGUAAAAACAAACCCUGUCUAAUAUCUAUAUGACAUUGUUGACCCUGAAAUCAGGUAAAAUGUCUUGUAAAGGAAACAUAAUGCACCUUGCUAGUCAAUGAAGCUAAACUUAAUUAAAGGGGUGUCAAUCAUUUGCUGGGAACAACAGAAAACAAAACCUACCGUUAAAUUUAUUCAGUAUGGCCUUGUGAAAUGUGCAUGAGAACUCUAAGUCUUAUGAUCUGACUGUUAACCCUGCCCCACUAUGCUUCUGUAACCUUAAGAUUGAUGCCCAACCUUCUCUUGUCUCAGUUUUCUCAUCUGUAAAAUGAACAAGUUAGACUCCCUCAUCCUGUAGGUUUGUCCUAAUGUCAACAUUUUAUAAGUCUAUGUGGGAACUCAGCUAAUCAAGACCUGUUUUUUCCUUUAAAGCAAUGAUUUGAAUGACUUGUCAUCUGUUUUUAGAUUUCUCCACUGCCUACUGAAUAAAAUAAGAAUAGGAUCAAUUUGAGACAGCCCUUUCAGCCCAAGGGUGCCAUAACUAAUGGCACUGUCUGUUUCUGCUUUCUAAAUGGAAUCCUACUAUAUACAUUUUUUCUGCGGUAAAGUGUCUACUUUAUGAGCAUAAUAAAUAGCAAUCGCACUUUAAUGGCAACUUUAGCUGUGACCAUUAUGGCACAAUUUAAGUGCUUAAAAACACUAAUGGGAGUGAUACAAUGUUAAUUAUACUAUGACUAUGAAGGCUGCUGUACACAAGAACUCCUGCAAAAUUAAGUAAAACCCUGGUUAAUUCUAAUUACAGUCUGUCUAGAGGAGAUAAGAGAAAUUAAGCACCUCUUUUUUGAGUGCAUUCCUAAUAUAACAGCACAAUUUGGCCACAUUGGUUGAGAAAACAUUUCAAGUGACUCAGAAAGUAGGAUUCUGAAAUAAAAGAAUUUUUUUCCGUUUAAAUAAGAAAGGAAGAAAGAUGAAUUACUUAUACAGAAAAUGCAUCUUUACCUGAAACAAUGCUUACGUUCUCGCCUUAAAGCCUAAGGUAACCCACUUUUUUUUUUUUUUUUUUUUUUUUUGAGACGGAGGUGUAACCCACUUUUAAAGAGCUCAUUCAUUAAUCUGUCAGAAACAAAACAAUAUCAUAGAGGUUUUCCUUAUUUUAAAAUGUGUUUUAUACACUAUAUAGAAGAAAUAUAUUUAAAAAACAAAACCACGAAGAUCAUCCUUCAUCUUAUCAUCUAUGGAAAAAUUGAAAAACAAUUUUUCAAUAUUUAUUUCAAUUAUUUUUGAUUCUUUCCAAAAUGUCUUGUCACUUCCUCUCUUUCCUCUUUUUCUUUCUACCAUUUAUUGAAUGCCUUCUAUGUACUGGAAGCUCUAUGUACUAGAGCUAGAUAUUUUUAAAAAUGGGUAAAACAAUUUUGCUGCCCUUAAGGGGUUUAGAGUCUAACAGAGAAAAACAAACUUGUAAAAGCAAAACAACGGUUUUGUUUACACCUCAGUAUCUGUUAUUAGACACACAUGUCUCUUUCUUUGUCUUCCAGUGUAAUCUUUUUCCUUUGAAUUCCCUUGCUUUCCUUAUUAUAAAUUGCUUUGCAUAGAUCUCUAACUCAUGGGAUCUUUAUGAAUCCAAAGUGAGGAGAAGAAAUCAAUUAUCUGAUUUAUCUGAUUUUAUUAUUAUCAUUAUUUUAGAAAUAAGAGGGUCAUAGGUUUUUAAGAAAAUCCCCUGCUGGAAAGCCUGACACAUUUCAAAGUGCUACCAUUUGAAAAGUGAGGGAACAACAUUUCAUAAAUAAUGAAAACAAUUGUCUGGCAGUCUACAAUUUCCAAUACAUACAUUAUUUUAAUGGAUCAAAAACCAAACACAGUAGUAUAAGAGAAAUCAACGCAUUUUUAAUGAAUAAAAAUGAUAACUGAUGGAAAUCAUUGAAUUCCACUGAAAAAUGUCCCAUAAUCUCUAAAUUAUAGGUAUUAGGAGAGUAACCCAAACCAUUAGAGUAAGUAUCUGGGUACUUAAAAAUUGUCUCCCUCACCUUAAAGCAUCUAUUAUCUAUCUAUAAGGGAUCUUCUAAUUUGUCAGUGUAUCUAGAUUUAAGUGGCCCGUAGGGUAUAUAUCAAACACCUGCCUUGGAAGGUUAUUUCUCAUUUUAGCAGUGCCACUUUUACAGCAUUAGAGUAGCUUCAAUGACAUUUAAUCUGCACUCCCUUUGAGCAAUAAUCAUAUCAUUACUCUUUAGCAAAUGUUUCCAAAUAGAGAAUAUUUUGUACACUCUUAUAAUAUAUGGAGAUCCUCAGCCUCACCUGCUGCCCAGUCAAAUGAAACAUAAACAGGAUUUGUAUGUAAAUUCACAAGCUCAUUAACAUCUGUUAUGGUCAUUUUCUAAAAUUUGUGUUGCUUAUGUAAUGAUUACAUCAUUGGAAUCAUUCAUCUUAUAUUUUCAGCCUCUUCCGUACUGACUACAGCAUUUACUAUUGAGCAUUGCUAGCAUUUCUCACGGAGCUUGCUUAUCCCUCUAUUAGGCUGUUGUUCAUUAGGAGCCUUGUUCCCAUCACCAGAAAAGAGAUAUAAACAGUAUUAGUAAGACUUCGACCUUGGACAAAACUUUAUUUUCUUCAGAUUUUUCUCUGAUAUGUGAAGACACUACACACACACACACACACACACACACACAGAGCAUAUUCACUUACCACUUCCUCCCCAUCUUUAUUCACUUGAAAUCAUUGUUUUCCAGAUUGUUUCUUCCUGUUAAUAAACAAUUAUUUUUGCCAUUUGCCUGAUUUUUUUCCCGUAUGAAAAUACAACAUUGGAAUCAUUCAUCUUAUAUUUUCAGCCUUUUCCUUAAUAACUACAGCAUUUACUAUUGAGCAUUGCCAGCAUUUCUCACGGAGCUUGCUUAUCCCUCUCCUAGGCUGUUAUUCAGUAGGAGCCUUCUUCCCAUCACCGGAAAAGAGAUAUAAAAAUAAACAACGUAAAGAAAGUAUGAAGACUGAAAGAAAUGUGCGGAGAUAAUGACAGAAUGUGGAAGCAGUACAUCUGGUGUGUUGGAGAGUGAAAAACCACAGGAAUGAGCUCUAUACAGAAGUGGAAUGUGGUAUCAGAGAAGCUUGAGAUGCAGCUGUGGAGAUGGCAGGUGGCUGACACGAACUCUCUGUGUGACCUUGGGCUAGCCACUAAGUUUAUCUAGUACUAAGUUUCUUGUUUCAUGUCUAAAACAAAGGGUUUAGUACCCUCAAAAGGUAUUUCCAGAGGAAGGUACAAAGGAAAAGGGCAGAAAAUUCAAGACAUGUCCAAGUAACAGAAGAAAGGCAAAAAUGAGACCAAAUUAAAGACAGAAUGGGAAAAGUCGGUUAAAAGCCUGGACUUUAUUCUGUAAGCGACUAGGCAUCAUCAAAAAUCCAUCCUACAAACAAAAGUAUUAAUCAUUUGGUCUUCUCCUCUAGACAGGCAUAUCACACA